AGGAAACGAUUGAGACAUUAAGAAACCAUGCGAAAUAUCAAAGGAGAAUGUUUGAUCAGGCUGUUCAGUUGGUUUGCCCUGGUGGAGUCCUUGUGUACUCAACGUGUACAAUCAAUCCUGGUGAGAAUGAAGCAUUGGUCCGGUAUGCUCUGGAUACAUACAAGUUCCUGUCUUUAGCUCCACAGCAUCUGAGAAUACCAGGAAAGGAAGA